UCUUUGGAGAGUUUGAUCCUGGCUCAGGACGAACGCUGGCGGCGUGCCUAAUACAUGCAAGUCGAGCGGACCGGAUUGGGGCUUGCCUUGAU
rnacentral:rRNA from 1 species